rnacentral:rRNA from 1 species
GACGAACGCUGGCGGCGUGCUUAACACAUGCAAGUCGAACGGAAAGGCCCUGCUUUUGUGGGGUGCUCGAUUGCCGAACGGGUGAGGAACACGUGAGUAACCUGCCCCUGACUUUGGGAUAACUUCAGGAAACUGGGGCUAAUACCGGAUAGGAUCUCUUGCUCCAUGGUGGGGGUUGGAAAGUUUCGGCGGUUGGGGAUGGACUCGCGGCUUAUCAGCUCGUUGGUUGGGUAGUGGCUUACCAAGGCAUUGACGGGUAGCCGGCCUGCGAGGGUGACCGGCCACAUUGGGACUGAGAUACGGCCCAGACUCCUACGGGAGGCAGCAGUGGAGAAUAUUACACAAUGGGCGGAAGCCUGAUGCAGCGACGCCGCGUGCGGGAUAACGGCCUUCGGGUUGUAAACCGAUUUCGCAUGUGACGAAGCGUGAGUGACGGUAAUGGGUAAAGAAGCACCGGCUAACUACGUG